AUCGUGAUGAGGUAACUGCGCAAAGAAAAUCGGAAACCUCCCCCCAUAUCAGCACGGUUUCCUUCCUCGUCUCUGGAUUCAUCGCAUGCCCGGCGGCGGUGGCGGAGGCAUCAUCACGACCUGAGCAAGGGAAAUCCGGCUGGUAGAUUCUCCAAAUCCGGCUGGUUCGUGGUGGCAACAAUCCUGCGAGUUCAUCUAAAUACACAUUUUACUUCGGUGGAGGAUAUACCAAAUGAAGCUAUGCCAGCCUUUUGAGUUGAAAUGGAAAAAAUACGUCUAGAAAAGGAAAAUUAAGAUGCUAAAAUCAUGGAACUAGAAGAGAAGAUGAGAAGAAUGGAAAGACAACCAGAUAAGGUAAAUUUUUAUCAACUGUAACCUUCAUUUAUUUUGUAGGAUAACCUUUCUGUAUUUCUAUCAUAGGAAAUUUCGGAUCCAAUGGCUGCAAGCCUACAACUGGGCUUGAACCUUCAGAUCAUGGACAUAAUUCAAAC